CACGUCAGCGCGCUUUGCUGACGUGGCAACAAAUCGCGUCCACGAGGGGGCGAUUUAUUGCCACGUUAGCAAAGCGCGCUGACGUGG
rfam:Gossypium hirsutum cultivar TM-1 chromosome 17, whole genome shotgun sequence